AAAUUUUGACUGAGGUACGAAAAAUCCUAGAUCCGCCCCUGAACAGCAAAAAUUUUCCUUUCAAAAAUUGUCAACCUUUCACCAUGUAAAACAUGUCCAGCACGUUUUUUAUAUACAUAUAUUUCUGUAUAUUUAGAAAAUUUCGACCAGACAGGGAAAAUUUUUCUCACAAACAGACGAAUAUACGAGCGUGCUCAUGGGCAUACUGGAUAAUAAGGAAGGUAGAUUUCGGCAUACCCUGCAGUAGCCUCGGCGAUUUGUCGCGAUGAAUUAAGGAUGUGGGAUAUCGGAAGACCUGGUAGGUAGCCACUGUUUGUGAUGGCUAUAUGAAAAAGCAGUAUGUGGCCCUUUAAUUAGCUGCAGUACUAGUAUAGUUGAGAAAUCCGGGUAAGGUGGAGCGAAGAACAACCUAAAAGCCUACUGAUAAAGCCUCUAUAAGCCUACUGAUUAAGACGGAUCAACAAGUCUGCAAGUCAAAAUGUGCUCUAAAACCCCCCUGAACCAAAAUUUUCUCCAUCAAUAUGGGUUUUGAAUCUUUUUAGGUUGAUCUAUGUCUAUGACGAAAAAACUCGGAUGUUCCAUCAGUCCGAAAUUUAGUUCACUCGAGAAUCCCGGAUAACGGAUAAGGUUAGUAUAACUUAUUAUGAAGGACGGAUAACGAACAUUUCCACUAGUCAUCUCAAAUUUGAAAAUGUGUUCUAAAAUUCUCCCGGGCCAUAACUAUCUUCAUCAAUAUGCGUUCUUAAUCUUUCUAGGUCGAUCUAUAUCCAGUAUAACAAAAAUUUUUUUUCCAUCAGCCCGAAAUUUAGUUGACUAGAGGAUCCCGGAUAGCGGACAAGCUUAGUAUAAUUUAUUAUGAAGGACGGAUAACGAACAUCUGCAUAAGUCAUCUCAAAUUUGAAAAUGUGUUCUAAAAUUCUCCUGAGCCAAAACUAUCUUCAUCAUUAUGCGUUCUGAACCUUUCUAGGUCGAUCUAUGUCCAGUAUGACAAAAAAUUUUUCCAUCAGUCCGAAAUUUAGUUGACUCGAGAAUCCCGGAUAACGGAUAAGGUUAGUAUAACUUAUUAUGAAGGACCGAUAACGAACAUUUGCAUAAGGGCCAGGUUGGAAAUAGCAAUAAAGCGAUUUCUCACAUAGAAGUAUAAAAAGAAUAAAAAAUAGCCUGAAUAAAUAAAGAAAAAAACAAUUGUGAGUCCGCUAUGAGUUCAACGGGAUUUGAACCCAAACGUUAAUAAUGAUAGGCCAAACGGCCUACCACUAAGCCACCAGGGACGAUCUGAAAUUCUUGUGAAAUUAAAGCCAGAAUAGUAGAUUGUUGUGACCUGCUUAUCUCAUGAGGUGAAGGAGACUAUUAUGCGGUGAAUGGCGGUGAACGCGGUGAAAGAAUUCAAUAUGAAAUCAACACAGAAUGAUUACCUGGAUCUCUUCGGGCCAGGUUCAACAUAGCAAUAUUUUUUCUGCUUGUAAAGCGAUUUCUCACAUAGAAAUAUAAAAAGAGAAAAAAAUAGCCAGAUUAUAUAAAGUUUAAAAGGAAAAAAAAUUGUGAGUCUGCUACAAAAUAUGAGUUCAGCGUGAUUUGAACUCAAACGUUUAUCGAGAUAGGCCAAACGAAUAUUCAAAUAUCGUAAUAUCGAUUCCAACAUCAAAUCCAUCUUUGUAGUGUUAAAUCGUGUUAUUUAAUUCUUGCGAUGCCCCGCGCAAUUCUUGAUCAUCCGAGGUAGUUAAAUUUUCAUUUCGCCCGCGGUUUAUCUGAAAAUGUUACAGUAGCUUUGGAACAUUACUUUGUUAAGACUUUGAAACAAGUGAUCUCUUUCAGGUGUAUUUGGUCUAUUUUACCGGCUUAACCGAAUUAUGAUUGGUUACAUGUUUUGAUGCCAUCAAAGAUAUAUUUCGAUUGGCUGAAAGAUAAUUGGUCAUGAGAUGUGCACGUGUACGCAUUGCCAAUACAAAGAUGACCUUUGAUACAAAUGACAGCUGCGGGUCUGUGACCUUUGUACCGCACGCAAAAUAUUCAAAUCGUUGUCAUAUAAAUUAGACUAAAUUUGUGGACAGCAUUGCCCAUUAACUUAAAUUUAUAAUAUAUAUAAAUUAGCUAAAAAAAUAUUGCGAGUCCGCUACAAAAUAUGAGUUCAACGUGAUUUGAACCCAAACGUAAUUAAUAGAGACAGGCCAGACAAACUACCACUAAGCCACCAGGGACGAUCUGAAAUUUUUGCGAAAUUAAAGACAAUAGUAGAUUGUUGUGACCUGCUUAUUGUCGUAGGUUCCCAGCGCAGCGCCGCCAAUUCAUUCAACUUUAAAUAUACUUCAUGUAAUAUAUCAGUAUUGUGAUUGACGUAAUUCAUGUUAAAUCGUAAAUAAGUCUUUGUAUGUGUAAAUUGAUACGUCACAGUGACACAUUGUAAUUUGGUAGGGUAAUCAAAUAGCUAGGGAGUGAUUGAAUGUCAUUGUUGCUGUCAGAUCGUAGCGAGACAAUCGGAAUGUUUAACAGUCUAAAACUCACGUUGUAAAUAGUAUACUUUCACAUAUUACAAUCAAUACAAUUAUAAAAUACAGUCCCUUGAGCGUUUACUGAAUGAACCAGACGGUGGAAUCACAAGUUCCGCAACACUUAUCUCAUGCGGUGUAGGAGACUAUUAUGCGGUGAAUGGCGGUGAACGCGGUGAAAGAAUUCAAUAGACACCUUAAGAUUGACGUUUACGGCAAACGUCAAACCGCUAGCGAUGUUUUUUAUUUUACAACUCUAUUACAACAGCUUUUACACCAGUUUUGAAAUAAUGUUAAACAAUUAUUAAACUUGUGCUUUUUAGCAAUGAUUUAAGAAAGCAAAUUAACCACUAGUCAUGUAUUCACCAAAGCAGUAAAUUAAGAUUUGUCGUUUGAAGUUAACGUUUGACGUAUAAAUUUCAUACUUGAACUGCUACGAGGGCUUAUAGUCGUUCAAGCAUGAAAUUUAUACGCCAAACGUAAACUUCAAAUGCCAAAUCUUAAUUUACUGCUUUGGUGAAU
rnacentral:lncRNA from 1 species